rnacentral:lncRNA from 1 species
GUGAAAGUUCUCACAAAGUUCCACCCCAAGACGAAAUUCAUUUCAACUACUCGUACAGCAAGCCAACCCAAACCCACAUUAAAUACACAUUACCAUUAUACAGAUCGAUCAUGUUGCAUGCCACAAUGGAAACACCCUCAAGGGCUCGUUAUGAGACAUCUGGGGAGUGCGAAACAUGAAAAACUUCCAAUACGGCCCGCAUAUGACCGAUGGGAUGGCCAUCGAGACUGCAUUGGCGGUAAUUAUUUUACAAGGGUACCGAUAGAAUUCCACACUCCCUCGACUGAUGACAAAUAGUUAUAAACCAACGUGGAUCAAUGAUCUCGGCACUUUUAUGAAGUGCAGCAACUUCCUAGAAGACAGCUAAUUAAUG